UGUAUCCAGUGCCAGAGGACGUGGUUGGAGGACGAUGACUUUCUGAGAGACCUGCUCUAAAGCAUCUCCGGGUAUUUUAGGAGACUCCUUCAGGAGGCUGUGAUCCUUCUCUUCUCAUCCAUGUACCACUCAAGUUCCAUCUGAGUCCUCUGGGACAAGGGUGGCCUCUCUCUUCCCAGGACCUUCAGCUCUCAGCGCUGUUCUGGUUCUCACCUGAAGCUCCAGGACCAGAGUGCUCAGUCUCUACAGAGAGUCAGAGGACGAGCAGACACGAAGCCCACUCUAUUCCCUUCCGUGCGUGAGAAGUUGUCCGUCCAGUUGCUUACAGACACUCGAAUAUGCCUUCUGCUUCCCUCCACUGCAUGUGUGGGAGAAGAUGCACACAGGAAUGACAGGGUCCACUGUGCAACCUGGGUUCCCCCUCACUUGGCAUGUGGACCAUGUACCUGCAUCCACAGUAAACCAUCGAUGUUUUUGCAUGGA